rnacentral:rRNA from 1 species
CCUACGGGAGGCAGCAGUGAGGAAUAUUGGUCAAUGGGCGUACGCCUGAACCAGCCACGUCUCGUGAGGGAUGAAGGUUCUAUGGAUCGUAAACCUCUUUUAUAAGGGACUAAAGUGUGGGACGUGUCCUAUUGUGUAUGUACCUUAUGAAUAAGGAUCGGCUCACUCCGGGCCAGCAUCCGCGGUCAUACGGAGGAUCCGAGCGUUAUCCGGAUUUCUUGGGUUUAACGGGUGCGUAGGCGGCCUUUUAAGUCAUCGGUGAAAGUCUGUGGCUCAACCAUCGAAUUGCCGUUGCAACUGGGGGGCUUGAGUAUGUUUGAGGCAGGCGGAAUGCGUGGUGUAGCGGUGAAAUGCUUAGAUAUCACGCAGAACCCCGAUUGCGAAGGCAGCCUGCCAAGCCAUGACUGACGCUGAUGCACGAAAGCGUGGGGAUCAAACAGGAUUAGAUACCCCUGUAGUC